AGUGACUUGCAAGGAGUAAGAACAAAUGACAAAAGGGAUGGAAGUGACAGGAUUCUCAGUGGAAACAAGAGGCCGGUAACAGUUUGUGGAUUGACAUCCAUCUGCAGACCACCGUUGGAGCAGCCACGUCCUAAAGAAUGUACCACAAUCUAGUUUUGUAAUUAUUAUACAGAAAAAUAUCUGUGGCGUCAAAUAAAUUUGGAAAAUGUGCACAACUUC